AGCAGCCGCGGUAAUUCCAGCUCCAAUAGCGUAUAUUAAAGUUGUUGCAGUUAAAAAGCUCGUAGUUGAAUUUCGGGAUCAAUAUAUCGGUCGUGCCUUCGGUACGUACUGGUGUCAUUGGUUUCUCCUUUCUGACGAACCAUGAUGUCAUUAAUUUGGUGUUAUGGGGAGUUAGGACUGUUACUUUGAAAAAAUUAGAGUGUUUAAAGCAGGCUUUAGCUUGAAUACAUUAGCAUGGAAUAAUGAAAUAGGACGUUCGAACCUAUUUUUGUUGGUUUCUAGGAUCAACGUAAUGAUUAAUAGGGAUAGUUGGGGGGCAUUAGUAUUCAAUUGUCAGAGGUGAAAUUCUUGGAUUUAUUGAAGACUAACUACUGCGAAAGCAUUUGCCAAGGAUGUUUUUCAUUAAUCAAGAACGAAAGUUAGGGGAUCGAAGACGAUCAGAUACCGUCGUAGUCUUAACCAUAAACUAUGCCGACUAGGGAUCGGAUGAUGUUAAUUUUUUUAAUGACUCAUUCGGCGC
rnacentral:rRNA from 1 species